rnacentral:rRNA from 1 species
AGGGUUCGAUUCUGGCUCAGGAUGAACGCUAGCGGCAGGCUUAACACAUGCAAGUCGAGGGGUAACAGGGAUUGCUUGCAAUCCGCUGACGACCGGCGCACGGGUGCGUAACGCGUAUGCAACCUACCUUCUUCAGGGGGAUAGUCAAUAGAAAUGUUGAAUAAUACCCCAUACGAUCAUUAAUCUGCAUGGAUUGAUGAAGAAAGCUCCGGCGGUAGAAGAUGGGCAUGCGUCCUAUUAGUUAGUUGGUAAGGUAACGGCUUACCAAGACAUCGAUAGGUAGGGGUCCUGAGAGGGAGAUCCCCCACACUGGUACUGAGACACGGACCAGACUCCUACGGGAGGCAGCAGUGAGGAAUAUUGGACAAUGGAGGAAACUCUGAUCCAGCCAUGCCGCGUGCAGGAAGACAGCCCUAUGGGUUGUAAACUGCUUUUAUACAGGAAGAAUUGCAUCUACGUGUAGAUGUUUGACGGUACUGUACGAAUAAGGAUCGGCUAACUCCGUGCCAGCCGCCGCGGUAAUAC